rnacentral:rRNA from 1 species
AGUGAACGCUGGCGGCAGGCCUAAUACAUGCAAGUCGAACGGCAGCACAGCAGAGCUUGCUCUGUGGGUGGCGAGUGGCGGACGGGUGAGGAAUACGUGGGAAUCUGCCCAGUCGUGGGGGAUAACGGAGGGAAACUUACGCUAAUACCGCAUGCGCCCUUUGGGGGAAAGCCGGGGAUCUUCGGACCUGGCGCGAUUGGAUGAGCCCACGUCGGAUUAGCUAGUUGGAGGGGGAAAGGCCCACCAAGGCGACGAUCCGUAGCUGGUCUGAGAGGAUGAUCAGCCACACUGGAACUGAGACACGGUCCAGACUCCUACGGGAGGCAGCAGUAGGGAAUAUUGGACAAUGGGCGCAAGCCUGAUCCAGCCAUGCCGCGUGAGUGAAGAAGGCCCUCGGGUUGUAAAGCUCUUUUGUUGGGGAAGAAAAGCCUUGGGUUAAUACCCUGAGGUUCUGACGGUACCCAAAGAAUAAGCACCGGCUAACUUCGUGCCAGCAGCCGCCGUAA